rnacentral:rRNA from 1 species
GAUGAACGCUGGCGGCGUGCCUAAUACAUGCAAGUCGAGCGAACGGACGAGAAGCUUGCUUCUCUGAUGUUAGCGGCGGACGGGUGAGUAACACGUGGAUAACCUACCUAUAAGACUGGGAUAACUUCGGGAAACCGGAGCUAAUACCGGAUAAUAUUUUGAACCGCAUGGUUCAAAAGUGAAAGACGGUCUUGCUGUCACUUAUAGAUGGAUCCGCGCUGCAUUAGCUAGUUGGUAAGGUAACGGCUUACCAAGGCAACGAUGCAUAGCCGACCUGAGAGGUGGUUCGGCCAAACGGGAAUUGGAAAAGGUUCCGACUCCCAAGGGGAGGAAGCAUUAGGGAUUCUUCCGCAAGGGGCGAAAGCCGGACGAAGAAAGGCGGCGUGAGUGAUGAAGGUUUUCGGUUCGAAAACUCUGUUAUUAGGGAAGAACAUAUGUGUAAGUAACUGUGCACAUCUUGACGGUACCUAAUCAGAAAGCCACGGCUAACUACGUG